AAAGUCGUAACAAGGUUUCCGUAGGUGAACCUGCGGAAGGAUCAUUAUUGAUUUGAAAAUGGAUGUGCUGGCAUUCUAUUAGUUUCAAAGCUCAUGGAUGCAUGUGUCACUCCAAAUUUCAUCUUCACUACAACCCCUAUGUGCACUCAUCUGUCUUGAGGAGACAUGUUAACCCUACAGAGGGUAUCCAACUUGUCUUCUGAAGCUUUUUAUAAACCAUUUACAACCUGACAUAUCUAUGGGACAUUUGUCCAAUAAACAAAUAUGACAACUUUCAACAAUGGAUCUCUUGGCUCUC
rnacentral:misc_RNA from 1 species